ACGUAGGUGGCGAGCGUUGUCCGGAUUUAUUGGGCGUAAAGGGAACGCAGGCGGUCUUUUAAGUCUGAUGUGAAAGCCUUCGGCUUAACCGAAGUAGUGCAUUGGAAACUGGAAGACUUGAGUGCAGAAGAGGAGAGUGGAACUCCAUGUGUAGCGGUGAAAUGCGUAGAUAUAUGGAAGAACACCAGUGGCGAAAGCGGCUCUCUGGUCUGUAACUGACGCUGAGGUUCGAAAGCGUGGGUAGCAAACAG
rnacentral:rRNA from 1 species